GGAAACUACGCAAAGAUACUACCCGUUGCAAAGCUUAGCGGUUUUUUCUAGAUUGAGAUCACACUCUAUGACGCAAUUGGUACCGAUCUUGAGAACGGCGGUGCAUUCGAGUAUUCAUACCAUCAAGGAUGCUCGCCACAGGAAACCUUCCGUCUAUCUACGGGGAUAUUCCGCCGCCAAACUUCGAAUAUACACUCAGCAUACAGUAAAUACUUCAUGUAUAUACUCCGGCGAACAUCGUUGCGGAAAUAUAUCAGGCGCCAAGCGCAACAGGUUGGUCUGCAUUCUAUUCGGUAUCACCCAGAAGGAUAUGAUGAAGUGCUACGACCUCCUGUCUAGUUUGGCCAAAGCGAAAUCAAUUCAAACUACACAAACAAUGGCAUUCGACAGCAUACAAUAAAUAUUUAUCGAUGUGAUGAUCUGCGCCGUCGACUGAGCAAUUUCGAACUGCGUACACCGUUAGUUUUUUAAUCAUGGCUGAAGGACUGUAAUCUCCGUUAGGUUGGAAUACAAUUUUUGUCUAGUUUUGAGAGAUUUUAAA